GACGAACGCUGGCGGCGUGCUUAACACAUGCAAGUCGAACGGAGCGCUCAUGAUUGAGGUUUCGGCCAAAUGAUUGAGUUGCUUAGUGGCGGACUGGUGAGUAACGCGUGAGGAACCUGCCUUUCAGAGGGGGACAACAGUUGGAAACGACUGCUAAUACCGCAUGAAAUGCGACCGGGGCAUCCCGGAUGCAUCAAAGAUUUAUCGCUGAAAGAUGGCCUCGCGUCUGAUUAGAUAGUUGGCGGGGUAACGGCCCACCAAGUCGACGAUCAGUAGCCGGACUGAGAGGUUGACCGGCCACAUUGGGACUGAGAUACGGCCCAGACUCCUACGGGAGGCAGCAGUGGGGAAUAUUGGGCAAUGGACGCAAGUCUGACCCAGCAACGCCGCGUGAAGGAAGAAGGCUUU
rnacentral:rRNA from 1 species